rnacentral:rRNA from 1 species
UACAGAGGGUGCGAGCGUUGUCCGGAAUCACUGGGCGUAAAGGGCCAGUAGGCGGCCAACUAAGUCCGACGUGAAAUCCCAAGGCUUAACCUUGGAACUGCAUCCGAUACUGGAUGGCUUGAAUCCGGGAGAGGGAUGCGGAAUUCCAGGUGUAGCGGUGAAAUGCGUAGAUAUCUGGAGGAACACCGGUGGCGAAGGCGGCAUCCUGGACCGGCAUUGACGCUGAGGAGCGAAAGCCAGGGGAGCAAACGGG